UGUUUUUUCCAGUACUUUCUCUUCUGGUUUCUGAUUUCCAGGGUCCACGCUUCUUUGUUUCUCUUUUUCUGUCUGCCUUUCCAUUGGUCUGUUUCUAGUUCCGGGGGGCGGGGACAGUAUCGCCAGUCGGCGCUAUGAUUGGCUGAAGCGGACUGCCCCGCCUUCUUUCCCAAGUGAUUGGAGGACACUCGUCCGGGCUGGUCCCGGGCCCCAGUCCAGCAGCAGCAGCAGCAGCAGCGGCAGGAAUGUGUUGGUGAAGCGGCCUGGCGUGGUCGGUAAAUGGAAUAUUGCGACUUAGUAACCCGGAAAGCUCAAAGCUGUCCUUAGGAGACAGGGCAAUGAGAGCAGAGUCAGUGGGCGCAUCUCCAUUCCGCGAGAUAGGCUCAGUGAACAGACUGGUCGGGGAGCUCGUUGGAUUCAACAAUUUGCAACCACCAGCAAACGCAGAGACGGACAAUAGAAAGCACUGGCCCUGAUAGUGUCUUGGAAUUUGAACUAUUAUCCAAGAAAGCAAGCAGCUUAACUUGGAGAUAUAAAGACAGCAGGUCUGCAGGAGCUGUGAAGCAAGUGAAAAGCUAUCAGAAAAAAACAUGUUUGUUUUGACAGUCACAAGCUAGAAGGUGCGACGCUCAAGUUGAAGGUUGCCACGCCAAACACUAGUGGAAGGAUUCCAAAGUAACCUGCACCUGGGAGAAUAACUGGAACACCAAGGAACAAUGCAGUGGAUAAUAGAGAGCUGUGGCAUACUUGGUUUUGUCUCAAAAAAAAAAGCAUUACAAGGGGAUCUGGAUUUUCUAAGUCUCGGUAAACUAUGUAGUGUUAAAAAUUAAAGCGAGCCCUGCUAAGUUACAUAAGCAGUAAAACCUUUUAAAAGCA